AACUAAUUAAAUUUGACCUGUUUCAAUUAAUAUAAUUAAUUUAAUUUAUUUAUUCUUACAGUAAAAAUGUCUCUAAAUCCUAAAUUCUAAACCCUAAGGUUGCGUUUGGUUCGGGUAUAAGUAAGAACUGCUAGUUCUAGGGAUAGGUACAAGUUCAGGUAUAAGCAGGAACUAGACCAAUUUUGCGUUUGGAUGAAAAUUGAGUUGUUCCUAGGAAUAAGAUAAAUAGUAUUUGGAUGGUUAGAUUGGAACAAGAGGAAUAAGAGUUAUAAUUUGAAAUUAAAAUUAUAUUAUGUAAUUAAUAGUAAUAAAAAUAUUACUUAAAAAUAAAUAAGAAAUUAAUUAUUAAUAAUUAAUUAUAAAUAAUAAUUAUUAUUCAUAAUUAAUUAUAAAUAAUAAAUUAAUAAUAUGGAUUAUCUAAUUAAUAAUAAUUAUUAUUAUUAUUAAUUAGAUCAUCCAUAUUAUUAAUUUAUUAUUUAUAAUUAAUUAUNCCGCAUAACAUAAUUAUAGGUGACUUUGAAAUAUUUCCUAAAAUAGAAAAUCUAUAUUUGAGCUUGACACGUAGAUUUUCUAUAUAGUAAAAGAUAUUAUUUUCUUAAAAAAUCUAUUUUUUUUUUUCUAAAAUAAAAAAUCUAUAUUUGAGCUUGACACGUGGCAAACAUAUAGAGCGUCACGUGUUAGCUUUUCAUAUAGGUUUCAUUAAGGGUUCUACUUUAGUAUAUAGUAAUAGAAUAUUUUCUAAAAUAGAAAAUUUAUAUUUGAGCUUGACACGUAGAUUUUCUAUAUAGUAAAAGAUAUUAUUUUCUUAAAAAAUUUAAUUUUUUUUUCUAAAAUAAAAAAUCUAUAUUUGAGCUUGACACGUGGCAAACAUAUAGAGCGUCACGUGUCAGCUUUUCAUAUAGCUUUUAUUAAGGGUUCUACUUUAGUAUAUAAUAAUAGAUAGAUUGGAUAUGAUCCAAAUUAGUUAUAAUAGAUUGAUUAGUAUUGUAACUAAUUGGAUAUGAUCCAAAUUAGUUACAACAGAUUGAGUGUGCCUGGCUUGUACGGCUUUAUUAAUUAGUGGAGGCGUACAUAUAGGAGCCGUGGCUUCAUUAGUACGUGACACUCAAAUUUAAUGAAAAAGAAUUCACAUUAUUCUCUCUCAACCUUUCGUCAAAUAUUUCACUAAAGGAAACGUAGAUAUCAGAAGACUGCUAGCACCGUCUUUGUAAUCUGUGACUCAUCUGUUCCGUGCGACGGAAGACGUUGGAUCUAAAUCAAUUUCGUGUGGAUACGCGUAGAGGCCAGGCAUGUGCGCGGCUAAUCGGAAUCUCAGUUUCAACCGUACAGUAGAUCAAGAGACCUUAACCGGUCCGAGGUGAUGUAGCCUGAACUUCAAAUCUGUUUAGAUUAGAUUAUUAUUUUACAUUGUAACAUGAGAAUGAUCCGCCGGCACUGAAUUGAUUUGUUUUUGUUUUGUCUUGAUUCAUAUGCGAUAUGGAUUUUUAUUUUUCGAAAAUACAAUUUAAAUUUCCGCUGUGAUUUUUUGUGCCGGAUAAAUUCUUAGAUAAGUACCCACCAUAGUGAAUAGUCACGAAAAUUUCUUCGCUAAUCUCUCUUAUUUUUUUUCUUGU
rnacentral:lncRNA from 1 species